CAGUCUUUCUCUUUCCAUGCCACAUAGAUGAGAAAAAGAAAAGGUCGGAGAAGAAAUAAAGCACGAAGGAAGAAGAAGAAGAGGGUGGCGAUGACAACGACGGUCACCGAGAAGGAUGCUAGAUCGACAGAGAAAAGAAGAGGAAUGAGGUGACGGCGGUGAUGAAGGCUACUGCCGCUGUUGGAUCCAUAGAACUGCCUCUACCUCAGAACACCGUCGUAGCCAUUCCUUCACCGAUGGAUGCUGCAAAAAAAGGAUGCUUCAAGUUCCACUGCUCCAUGGUAGGAAGUCAACUAAAGCUCUUCUUCAUCCUUUUUAAUUUUCUCCACUGAAAACUACCUCUGAAUCGAAUGCAAGAGAGCGAAAGCAAAUAGAGCAGUGAAGGAGAAAGAAGGAGGAAUGAGGCAAUGGUGCUAAUAGAGGCCACUGUGGAUGCUAGAUCUGCCACUGAAGAAGAAAGUCGUUCGAGAGAGGGGAGCUUCCAACGAGGCAUAUGCUACUCUGUUGUACGAUGAGGAAUCCUUAUAAUCCAGUCGGUGAAUGACAGCUUCAAGUUCCACUCCUCCAUGAUAUUGUAGAUUCAAGAACCAGUUUGGAGUUUUAUGUGAAGGUCACCAUUAUGCCUGAUUUAAGAAACAGAUUUACACGAAAGUCACCAUUAUGGACUGGG